CAAAUGACUCACAGCUGCUGCUACCAUGACAGGAACCGAGAGGGAAGGAGUGUUCCCUUAUGGUGAGGAGGCUAUCACUACUGUCGAUAAAAUUCACAGAAGCCACCGACAAUUGCAUCUAACAGCCAAGAAUGAAUGAGUGAGUGAUUAAUUAUCCUCUAAGUGCAUGUGAGUGACUUUUAAAUGGCCAGAAUAUGGGUUAAAACCCACCAUUUAACAGCAAUUGAUGGAGCUUUUCAGUCACUGGAGC
rnacentral:lncRNA from 11 species